ensembl:miRNA
GGGUGGCUUCCGUGCCUGCAGAUGUCUGUGAAUUCCUCAAGGCUGAGACCCUGCAGCCAAAGAAGCUACCC